GUUAAGAGUCCAGGGAGGAGGAGGGAGAACAGUUCGGGCUGCCAGGAUGUUGUUUGGAGGAGGAACUCCUCAGCGGGCCAAAGUCUAUGACCUCAGAGAGGCAACCUCAUGAACAGAGCUUUCAGAACAUCUGGAAAGUUCCAUUGUUGGUGUCAUCCCCAUUAUGCUAUAAGGAAGUGUGAAUUUCAGACCAACUGGAUAGGAGAGGCACAUCCCGGAGAAGCUGAAAGCUCUUUAUUCAUUUUUAAAAAAUAGCUACAAUUAGAGUGGACACCAUGGGUGACAUGGAUUGCUCAUCACAGAAGAUCGCCAAAAGUGACUCCAUACAUCACAUGAGCCACUCCCAGGGGCAGCCAGAGCUGCCUCCUCUGCCUGCUUCUGCUAAUGAGGAAUCGUCUGGACUCUAUCAGACUGUCAUGUCACACAGUUUUUACCCGCCCUUGAUGCAACGCACGUCAUGGACCUUGGCUGCACCCUUCAAAGAACAGCAUCACCACCGUGGACCCAGUGAUUCCAUCGCCAACAACUACUCCUUGAUGGCCCAGGACCUGAAGCUGAAAGAUCUGCUGAAGGUCUACCAACCGGCCACCAUCAAUGUCCCUAGGGACAGGACCGGUCAGGGGCUGCCAUCAUCAGGAAAUAGAAGCUCAUCAGAGCCCAUGAGGAAAAAAACGAAGUUUUCCUCCAGAAACAAAGAGGAUUCCACUAGGAUCAAGUUGGCCUUCAAGACCUCAAUCUUCUCACCCAUGAAGAAGGAGGUAAAGACAUCUUUGACGUUCCCAGGAAGCAGACCAAUGAGUCCAGAACAGCAGCUCGAUGUCAUGUUACAGCAGGAGAUGGAAAUGGAAAGUAAAGAAAAGAAGCCAUCUGAAUCGGACCUGGAGAGAUACUAUUACUAUCUGACCAAUGGAAUUCGCAAAGACAUGAUUGCCCCUGAGGAGGGUGAAGUGAUGGUUCGGAUUUCAAAGCUGAUUUCUAACACGCUGCUGACGAGUCCCUUCCUGGAGCCCCUGAUGGUGGUCCUCGUGCAGGAGAAGGAGAAUGACUAUUACUGUAGCCUCAUGAAAAGCAUCGUUGAUUACAUCCUCAUGGACCCAAUGGAGAGAAAACGGCUCUUUAUUGAGAGCAUCCCCCGCUUGUUUCCUCAAAGAGUGAUCCGGGCCCCUGUGCCCUGGCACAGUGUCUACAGGAGCGCCAAGAAGUGGAACGAGGAGCAUCUGCACACGGUGAACCCCAUGAUGCUCAGGCUGAAAGAACUGUGGUUUGCAGAAUUCAGAGACCUCAGGUUUGUUCGAACAGCAGAAAUACUAGCGGGAAAAUUGCCUCUGCAGCCUCAGGAAUUUUGGGAUGUGAUCCAGAAACACUGCCUGGAGGCGCACCAGACUCUUCUCAACAAGUGGAUCCCCACCUGCGCCCAGCUUUUUACCUCACGGAAGGAGCACUGGAUUCAUUUUGCUCCCAAGAGCAACUAUGACUCAAGUCGAAACAUUGAGGAAUAUUUUGCUUCUGUGGCAUCAUUCAUGUCACUGCAGCUUAGGGAGCUGGUCAUUAAGUCGCUUGAGGACCUCGUUUCCCUUUUCAUGAUACACAAAGAUGGGAAUGAUUUUAAGGAGCCCUACCAAGAGAUGAAGUUUUUCAUACCUCAGCUAAUCAUGAUCAAACUUGAAGUCAGUGAACCCAUUAUUGUCUUCAAUCCAUCUUUUGAUGGCUGCUGGGAAUUAAUACGUGACUCUUUCCUGGAAAUUAUUAAGAACUCUAAUGGGAUCCCCAAGGUGGAAUCUGUCCUGUUCCCAGAGCUGAAAGGAUAUAAUCUGCUCCUUGGAACUGUCAACGCAGAAGAAAAACUUGUUUCUGAUUUUUUGAUUCAAACUUUCAAGGUAUUUCAGAAAAAUCAAGUUGGCCCCCGCAAAUAUUUAAAUGUCUACAAAAAGUAUGAUGACUUAUUGGAUAACACGGCAGAGCAAAACAUCGCUGCGUUCCUGAAAGAAAAUCAUGACAUUGAUGAUUUUGUGACGAAGAUCAAUGCCAUAAAGAAACGGAGAAAUGAAAUUGCAUCCAUGAACAUCACCGUGCCUUUAGCCAUGUUCUGCCUUGAUGCUACGGCCCUAAAUCAUGAUCUCUGUGAGCGAGCUCAAAAUCUUAAAGACCAUCUGAUUCAAUUCCAAGUGGAUGUAAACCGAGACACCAAUACCAGCAUUUGUAAUCAGUACAGCCACAUCGCAGACAAAGUCAGUGAGGUUCCUGCCAACACUAAGGAGCUGGUAUCCCUCAUUGAAUUCCUAAAGAAAUCCAGUGCUGUCACUGUGUUCAAACUCAGGAGGCAACUUAGAGACGCAAGUGAACGGCUGGAGUUCCUGAUGGACUAUGCAGACUUGCCGUAUGAGGACAUCAAAUUGAACAGCACUCUGUUCCUCUGGCCAGACCAGAUUGAAGAUAUCUUUGACAACAGCCGGAACUUGCUCCUUCACAAGAGGGAUCAGGCAGAAAUGGAUCUGAUUAAAAGGUACCGGGAGAGUCUGGGAUUGUCUUGGAAAUGAGACCUGACUUCUUCACCCAUGCUGCAGGUUCCUGGUUCUGUCUAAGCCAUCCCCCAGCUCACUCCACGGCAACGUGUGGGCGAAGUCUGAAAACAAUUGGUGGAGAAGGCAUUUCCUUUGGUUUCCCACUGAGGGAUGUUUUCUUUAAGACUGCUUCACUGUAAUAACCUCUGCUAAUGUCUUCCUUUCCUGCCUUGAAUAAUUGGAAUUUGGUGGUGCAGAGAGAAAAAGGCAAAACUAGUGGCAUGUUAUAACGGCCUCCCCAAUAAUAAUAGUGAAAUUGUCAGCCUUACAUUGGAGACCACAGAUCUGUAAGAUAUCAAGAUAUCAAGAUAAUAAAGGCAUGGCAGGGGGGCUGAGAAAUUGCCUAUUUUGCAGCUGGUCUUAUUCAGAGCUAAUGUGGCUGUAAUCACUUAUUCAUUCAUUAUUUGUCAAUUCAGUUGGUAUUUAUUGCAGAUUUUCAUGACAUGCUAUGCUCUAUUCUAGACAUAUAUGUGUGUUUGGCUGCUAAAUAAAGAUUUUAAUCCAGUGACAU
rnacentral:sRNA from 1 species